GACGAACGCUGGCGGCGUGCUUAACACAUGCAAGUCGAACGGAAAGGCCCUGCUUUUGUGGGGUGCUCGAGUGGCGAACGGGUGAGUAACACGUGAGUAACCUGCCCUUGACUUUGGGAUAACUUCAGGAAACUGGGGCUAAUACCGGAUAGGAGCUCCUGCUGCAUGGUGGGGGUUGGAAAGUUUCGGCGGUUGGGGAUGGACUCGCGGCUUAUCAGCUUGUUCGUGGGGUAGUGGCUUACCAAGGCUUUGACGGGUAGCCGGCCUGAGAGGGUGACCGGCCAAAUUGGGACUGAGAUACGGCACAGACUCCUACGGGAGGCAGCAGUGGGGAAUAUUGCACAAUGGGCGGAAGCCUGAUGCAGCAACGCCGCGUGCGGGAUGACGGCCUUCGGGUUGUAAACCGCUUUCGCCUGUGACGAAGCGUGAGUGACGGUAAUGGGUAAAGAAGCACCGGCUAACUACGUG
rnacentral:rRNA from 1 species